GAAAGCAACCCUGUCUCGGAAAAACAAAACAAACAAAAAACCAAGUACCCAACCAACCAAACAAGAGGAAACUCAGCAGUUUAUCUGCCUUUUUCAGAGCGCCCUGUAGGUUCUGAUCACGUGGGCUCCAAGGAUAUCACCAAUGGCUCUCCGUGUUACCUUCCCAUACGACGAGAUCAGGUGAGACUCAUGCCACGGUGACUGGCGAAGACCUGGAGCAUUGGUCAAACGCUGUAUCUCGAUCACCUUUGAACCCGUAGAAUGAAUGGCAAAGCCUUGGUUAGCAGGAGGAGGGGCAGGUCCAUCAUGCCUUGUGCUGAACUCCAGGAUGGCUGCAGUUGAACCUGCCCAGGCACAGUGCCCCACAGGAGGCUGAGACAGAAAGAUUGCAAGUUCCAAGUCAGCCUGAGCUACAUGGCAAGAUGUGGUGUCAAAGAACAGAACAAGACUAGUAGAAAGCAAACUUGAACUUUCAUCUUUCUAUUUUGUCUACCCAACACGGAUAACAAAGUUAUUGCUACAUGAAGUCAUGCAAUGUACAGCCAAAAAUUAUGGAAAGUAAUUAUAGGGGCAUGUCAGGAAGUUAAUAAAACUAUUAUUAUUUUU